rnacentral:lncRNA from 1 species
GAACCCAACUAGUAUCCAUGAAGAUGCGGGUUCAAUCUCGGGGCUCGCUCAGUGGGUUAAGGAUCCUGCGUUGUUAUAGCUGUGGUAUAGGUCACAGAUGAGGCUCAGAUCCCACGUUGCUGUGGCUGUGGUAUAGGCUGGCGGCUACAGCUCUGAUUCAACACCUGGCCUGGGAACUUCCAUAUGCCAUGGGUGCAGCCCUAAAAAAAGAAAAAGAAAAAUUCGAGUACCAAGAAUAGAAAUGGUAAGACUAUUGCAAGAGUGAUAAUGAGAAUCUCUGUCUCUCUCCAUCUCUCUCCCUCUCCCCCCUUCUCUCAUUCUCCCCCCUCGCUUUCUGCCUUUCUCUCCCUCUCUCUUCCCCCCAUCUCUCUCUCUCACUCCCUCUCUCUCCUUCUCCCCAUCUCUCUCCCCAUCUCUCACACCCUCUCUCUCUUUCUUGCCCCCUUCUCUCUGUCUCUCUCCCUCUCUUCCCCCCUCCCCCCCGUUCCUCUCUCUCUCACAUGUGCACACACACCUGCACACACAUCUGCACACACAGUGGUUUCUUCAUGCUUAAAUUAGUUACUGGAUUUCAAAAACGGUGGAGGUUGUUGAGGACGAGGCAGUGUGGUGAUGAGGGCAUCUACUCUCCAAAGCCAGAGUCCCACUUCCUCUUCUUAUGUCUGCUGCCCCUCUGUGCCCGUGGACAAGUGGUCUGGCCUGCCUGGGCCGGUUUCCUCAUCCGAUGAGGUUCCCGCGGUGCCCUGGGUGGUGCAGAGUGUUGGGCAGAACCGAUGGCAUCAAGCGCACCUCAUCAAAUUGGCAUUAACUUCAGAGAUUUCACUUAGAUCAAAGUUAAGAUUUAUUACCGAUAGAAAGAGUCACCACCCUUGUUGUGGGGCCGGUUCCUCAUGAAGUCGCUAUUAAGAAAGCCUCUAGAAUCAUCAGUGACCCUGUCAAGGUAAAUGACCAAAACUCAGACUCCACAGAUACGCUCAGCCCAAUGAAUGAUCCGUAAUUUCUUUUAGGCAUCUUUGCCAAUCCAAUCCAGUCUGCAGCCUGUAUCUUAACAAAGCAAGUUCCCCUGACUGGAGACCCGAUAGCCGCUCUGUCGAAAUGCGCUUGAUUCUUUUUCUCCAUAAUGAAGCCAUUAUUCUCUAUCAUCUAGGACAGCCAGAGAGACCUGCUAUAAACUAUUGGAGAUGAAUGGGUGGGGGAGUUCCCUACGGGAUGAGCUGGCCCACUGAAGGGCAGAGAGAAGAGAACUGACUGCCUGUAAUUUACCUCGUUUUCGCACUGGCGGGGCGGGUUCAAGGGGAAUUACCAUCGCUGGGUUUCUUUAAGAGCAUCUUAACCUGGUUGUUGAGGGCGGGCGAUUCUUCUCAAGAGAGGCCUGGAGGAGGCGGAGGUAGCCCGUGGUGGAGCCAGAAUCGCCCGCGCUCGGUUCCUGGGGGUCACGCUGCUGCCCUUCUUCCUCCCCUCCAGGGAGUACCGGAGUAGGUUUACGAGCGAAGAGACGCUGAUGUUCUGCAUGAGGGUGAUGGUGGGCGUCAUCAUCCUCUACGACCACGUGCACCCCGUGGGGGCUUUCUGCAAGACGUCCAAGAUCGACAUGAAAGGCUGCAUAAAAGUUUUGAAGGAGCAGGCCCCGGACAGUGUGGAGGGGCUGCUGAAUGCCCUCAGGUGAGCCUCAGCCCCAUGGGGCAGCCAGCCCUUCAGAUCCAUUGCAAAUAUAGAUGCCAGAGGGCUGGAGCAUCAGGCUUAACACCCUGCCUGUGUUCACACAUUUCAUCUUCCCAACAGUCUGUUGAGGUUCACUACAAAACACUUGAAUGAUGAGUCGACUUCCAAACAGAUUCGAGCAAUGCUUCAGUAAAGCUUUGCUCAGAGAAGAGGAUCUUUGUACUGACCUCAGAAAAUGUAUAUGUUUACAUAAUUUAAUACAGAUUGAUGUUAAUACUCGUGUAUUUACAUAACCUCCUUGUCACUGAAAUAUAUGGACCUUGAUUUGUAUCCUGACUGACUCAACCCAGCAGAGCAUAAAUUGACUGGAGAGCCUUACCUGUGAUGUCUAAAACAAACAAACAAAAAACAACCCUUCUCCAAAGGCAAAAUUCAGAGACUUUAUCUUUGCACCUAUAACCAUCAGAAAUGCCUAAUGGCGUGUGGCCAUGUUUUAAUUCUAGAUGUGUAACCUCUCUGGGAAGUAUAGUUAUAGAAACACAAGCUGUUUGAUUUCCUGUGUCAGUUCAGCUACAAGAAACACAACGAUUAUCCUGACAGAGGGAGAGAGGGUUUCAAGAAAAGAAAAAUGCAUGUGGAGACACGGACCCAAGUGUUUGGAAUGCAGCAGGCCCCCUCUCUUUCCCCAGACGGCGCACCACGCGUGCAACUUGUCUGUUUGCACGGAUUUUAUUUACCAGCACAUUCUCUUUCUCAUUUGAUUUGCACUCGCUAACCUUCCCUUUCCAUUUCGCAAGAAGAAAGUCACCUGGGUUUGCAUCGUUUCAUGGGAGGAGGCAAAAAUAGAUGUACUUUGUGGCUAGGCUGGUGAUGGUGCUUUUCUUGGUGGGGGGAGCAGGUGGGGAGGAAGAGCGCCCAGGCACCAGGACAAUCAUAUUUCUGCUUCCACCCUCUGACCACAGGGACAGGGAUAUGGAGCUCUGGCUUUGAAACUGUGGGAAAGGUGGCUGACAUGCCAGUUAUCUUUGAGUGCUGGGUGCACAACCCCUUCUAAUAGGAGCUCUGUGCUCUGUGGACCGUUCAUGUGGCAGCAGAGAUCUAGGCAUUUAAUCAGGUACCAGAAACCUGGGGAGUUUGGAGGGUAAAUUUUGUUUUCUAGUUAACUGAUAUUUAAAAGGCAACUCCUCCACCACUCAACUGCCAGCUCGUCCCAAUGUAUAAACUCUGGUUUGAGGACCUGGAUUGUGUCCUGUUGAUUCACAGAGUGAUCUCGGGAGAUUCACUUAAGCUCUGGGUCUCAAUUUCCUCAUCAGUAACAUGAGCAAACACUAGUUCCCAUUGUGGCUCAUGGGUUGAAGAUCCGGUGUUGCUGUGAGCUCUGGUGUAGGUUGCAGAUGCAGCUCAGAUCUGGCAUUGCUGUGGCUGUGGUGUAGGCUGGCCGCUGCAGAUCCAAUUCAUCUCCUAGCCUGGGAACUUCCAUAUGGCAUCGGUGUGGCCAUAAAAAGAAAAAAAAAUGGGCAAACAAAACAGAUACUCUCCAAUAAUCCCACAAGACAGUGAGCCAAUAAAAAGACUGACCAUGCUAUCCUUCCUUAGUAAGUAGAGUCCAGGAAACACCACCCCACUUGCCUUGAUUAGCCAUACGGUGAGGGUCACCCUGUCUGUAGAUCACAGCUUAGCCUGGAAUCUUGGAGAUCUUCUCUCUUGAUCUCCAGUGGAGAAAUGAGAUAGAGGAUGAAGUCAAACAGGAUCACCCCCCACGUGGGACUAGAGCCCAGGGAGCCCCUUCCUGACUCCGUGACCUUUUCCUAUCACCACGUGGCCUAUGGUACAUACGAUGGGAUGAUGCUAGACACUUUGAAAGAAACCCUCAGCCUGGCCCGUGUAAUUGCUUGCCCCUUCCUGAUGGAAGAAGAGUUGCCCAGGGAAUGCCAUCUCUGGGAGUUGGGUCUGGGUGCAUCAGGGUUUGGUGUCAUUCGCAGUGUCCCAAGGAAUGAGCUGUCGCAUCAUUCCUUUCCCAGAUUUCAGUGGCCAGCUGGCAUUCUCUGGAGUCCUCCAAGAAAAGGGGAGAAGGACUUCGGUUUUAUUGACUUUUAACCGAGAAAUCCAGUCAAGCGGCAGAACAGAUCCCCUGGUCUGUAUCUAAAUGUCAGUCAACCAAGAGAGGAAAGGCCCUUUUCUUUGGAGCUUUUCAAGUUGAAUGAGCGCAGCUGCUCUGAUGGGGGUUCUCUUAUUAGAGGAGAUAUGUGCACGAUGGUAGCUUUCAAGACCUUUUCAGACCUGGGGAUUCUAAAACCCUAGAGGAAGCCAGAAAUUGGGCAGACACUGGGUGAACCAAUUCAUUAAAUAUUCAGCUUAAAGAAAUGUCCUUCUCCUGGGAGACCACAUGUUACCUUUGGGGAACAACUGUCAAGACUAGAAAUAGAGGCACUCACUGUUUGUCAUUCCUGUCUACUUUUUUCCCAUAUCAGGGGAGGAGAGUAUGUCUUAGAGAGAGGAAAGGACUUGCAGAUAAAGCGGUUGAGCACAUAUGUAAUUUUUAAUUAGACUUUCUAUCAAAUGGGACCAAACAUAUUGGAGGGGCUGCUGACCUGCCCCAAUUCAGCCAGGCCACCUUGUUUCAAAGCCGAGAUUCACCAGUACCUGGCUUCUCAAAAGCCCAGGGCCGGGACUGUUGCCUCUGAUUAUCAGGAGGACAGGUUAACUGAAUGUCUGUGAUCACUCACAGGUGAUGGGCCGUGGGUCCACUCCAGAGCUACUGUGGGAGACAAAUUCUCUUAACAGAUUGUCCUCUAGGCAUCAGGAGUCCUUGAACAGUCAUAUAUAUACAUAUAUAUAUAUUUUGUGUGUGUGCCGCGUGCACACGUGUCCAAGACCCGUGGGUGGUUUAGGGGAAAGUGCUAGCAACAGUAUCCAUGUCAAUGUUAAGUAUAUUUCAUAUCUGAUGUCUCAUGCUUUUCAAAUAAAAGUGUUUUCCAUUACUCAGAUAUUUAUUUUUGGGCGACAAGGUGAAAAUUAAAAUCCUCAGAUGCACUGCGCCUUUGGCAUUAAAACAUUGUUCUCAGAAACUUUUAUGUGCCGCUAGGAAUUAGUAAAAAAAAAAAAAAAAAAAAAAAAAAAAGGAAGUGGCAAUAGGAAUGUUUGAAUUGUGGUGACCCAUUGGGGUGGAGUAUUAACAACCAGAAAUUAAGUCUUGGAUACCACCCUUUGACUAUUAAUUACUAUCAUGAUUCAUCAGUGUUUUCUCCUAGUCAUCACCAUUGGGAUAUUAAUGGUAAACUGGGGUUUUUAAUACAUCAUCGCAUUGAAGUAACAGUGAUUUCAUGCCUCCUCAAAAGGAAAGUGAAGCCUACUCAAUCUUGGGAUCUAAUUGUGCAGUAGAUAUCAGAGACUUCUCAUUCAAUCAUGUGUCCUAGACAGCUACAAAUUUUUCUAGAUGUUAACAUUAAACAUUGGAAUUUUACCUUAAAGAAACGAAAUCUUUGGAACCCAAUUUCCCCGCUCCAUCUGUAAAGGCUGUUGCAUAGACAAAGCUGUUUAAAAGAUGUCACAUGUUGUUUGCUGAAGUCAUUGUAAUUUUUUUGCCUGCUUUGCCUCUUUUGUACAGAAGUUUUGAGUGUGAAAUGAAAAUUAAAGUUUGGUACAUAUAUUUAAA